rnacentral:misc_RNA from 1 species
GCAGUAGCAGGUGCCUUAGAUAUUACCCUCAGUUGUUACUAUUUUCUAUAGUGUUCUCAUGGUAUGUGCUCUUAAUUUGUUAUCACUUGAUAUCCGCUAUUAGACAUAUCACAAUGCAACAUCUUUCUGGGUUUCAUUCAUGUAUCUUCAUUAAGUACUGCUACUAGUUACUUCUCUAGUAUUCGAUAUUGUAAACAAAGCUGUUGACUAGUUUGAUUGAAACGAACUUUAAAUGGUUAAUAACAAAUUAAGAGCACAUACCAUGA